UGACCGGGCGGAACGAUCGCGUAAUAUGUUGCCGAAAGGUAUUAUUAUGAGGAAAGUCCGGGCUUCAUAGGGCAGGAUAACGGAUAACGUCCGCCGAAGGUGACUUCCGGGAAAGUGCAACAGAAAUAAACCGCCGUCCUCGGACGGUAAGGAUGGAAAGGCGAGGUAAGAGCUCACCGACCUCCGGGUAACCGGAGGUGCCAUGUAAACCCUAUCCGAAGCAACGCCCCGCGCUUACACGGUCUGCCCGACCAAAGCGAAAGCUUGGCGCGCGGCGGCAACCUGCAAAAGCAGGUAAGGUGUGUGGCAACACACAUCGCAGAUAGAUGAUCGUUCUCGACAGAACCCGGCUUACACGCCCGGUCAAUAU
rnacentral:RNase_P_RNA from 1 species